rnacentral:rRNA from 1 species
UACGUAGGGUGCGAGCGUUGUCCGGAAUUAUUGGGCGUAAAGAGCUCGUAGGCGGUUUGUCGCGUCGACUGUGAAAGCCUGGGGCUUAACUCUGGGCCUGCAGUCGAUACGGGCAGACUUGAGUUCGGUAGGGGAGACUGGAAUUCCUGGUGUAGCGGUGAAAUGCGCAGAUAUCAGGAGGAACACCGGUGGCGAAGGCGGGUCUCUGGGCCGAUACUGACGCUGAGGAGCGAAAGCGUGGGGAGCGAACAGG